UACGGCGAGUGAAGCGGGAUGAGCUCAAGCUUAAAAUCUCCGUGCAAGUUUUGCACGGCGAAUUGUAGUCUAUAGAGGCGUGGUCAGUGAGGGCGCUCGGGGCAAGUUCCUUGGAAGAGGACAGCAUGGAGGGUGAUACUCCCGUUCAUCCCUGAGUGGCUUUUGCGUACGACCCGUGUUCUUUGAGUCGCGUUGUUUGGGAAUGCAGCGCAAAGUAGGUGGUAAAUUCCAUCUAAAGCUAAAUAUUGGUGCGAGACCGAUAGCGAACAAGUACCGUGAGGGAAAGAUGAAAAGAACUUUGAAAAGAGAGUUAAAGAGUACCUGAAACUGCUGAAAGGGAACCGAAUCGUUUCCAGUGUCUAUAAUCCGUGGCAUAUUUCAUUGGCGAGUGUGUGCGUGCGUGUGCUGUGGCAGUGGCUUUUUUGGCUGCGCUCGGCGUGUGUGCUGUGUGUGCUUGUUGGUGCCCUGUGGUGCGGUGGGACGUCAAGGUCAGUUCGUAUGCUGCGGGAAAUGGCUGCCGAGGAGGUAGGGCUUACGCUCCGCGUUUGUCUGUUAUAUCUUGGUGGACGAGUAGUCGCGGUUGGGACUGAGGUGCCUACAACGUGCUUUUGAGUGUGUAUGGGUCUCCGUGUGCGCCGUGUGCGGAUAGCUUGCUAUGCGUGUGUGGUUGUGUGUGGAUUGAUGCGUACUGUAACUUGUCGCCGUUCGGGACGUUGACGAAAUGGAGCGAUCCGACCCGUCUUGAAACACGGACCAAGGAGUCUAACAUGUGUGCAAGUGUUAGGGUGUGGAAACCCCAGCGCGAAAUGAAAGUAAAGGGCAGCGCAAGCUGUCUGAGGUAGGAAACGUUGCGGGCUUCGGCCUGCGGCGUGGCACUAUCGACCGAUCAUGAGCCUUCGUGGUGAAAGAUUUGAGUUUGAGCACAUAUGUUGGUACCCGAAAGAUGGUGAACUAUGCCUGAGUAGGGUGAAGCCAGGGGAAACUCUGGUGGAAGCUCGUAGCGAUUCUGACGUGCAAAUCGAUCGUCAAACUUGGGUAUAGGG
rnacentral:rRNA from 1 species